UAUUGUUUUUAUGUCUAUACCUUUUUAAGUUGCCGGUUCACUUCAUAAUCUAAUCGUUAAUAUGUUCAGGAACUAUUUGAAAGUUUUGAGCUUCUCUUCCAGUGUAACAAGUUCAAAUGUUAACAAACAGUGUAUAUUGAACAAGAUAGCACAUUUUUACGAAUCUCUAUAUUGUAAUCAUUCCAACUACAGUAAUAGGCUAAACCACACAGUUGUGGCUUCUUCAAACGUGUUAAGAAAUUUAAGAUUGAGCACUAACUUCAACAGCAAAAACUUUUGUGGUAAGACAGAUACCUCAGCCAAAAAUAUAAUUUUCAAAACACCAGAAUCAACUUUGUGUGAAUACAGUGAAAAUAAACAAGAUCAACAUCAAAUGGUCAAAUCAGGUGAUCAGAUAGGCAGUACUUUAGGGAGUCAAGCGAUAGGCCCAAGUGGGAUAGAUUUAUUUGAAGACAUAAACUUUGACGAAAUUACAGGUGGAGAUGAAGAAAAGACUAAUAGUUUUAAGCUUCUCAUGCUAGAACUUGAUGUGAUGCGACAAGACGGAAUGUGUGUUCCCUCCAAAAUGUCAACUGAACAGUGGAAAGAAUUAUUUGCUCUUCAGACUAGGAGUCAAAGACGCAAGUAUUUAAUGUAUCUGUUUAAAACUGAAAUGAAAAAAUUAAAUGAAAAGAGAAAAAAAACACUGAAAAGAGAAGCAACGGAACAGGCCCGCUCAGAAAAUACACUUAAGCUUAUUGAUGGCCCUGCUGAACACAUAAGAUAUGGAUUUCAAGGCAGUACAAUAUUUGUAAGGAUAUAUGACACAACGAUUAAUGCUCAUGAUAAUAACAGAUUGAUUCAAGCAAUGAUGUUCGGUCAUAAUCUUGUAAUUGACUGUGGGUUCUAUAACGAUAUGAACCAAAUGGAGAACAAAUUGUGCUGUAAACAAUUGGUUUACUUAUUUGCAGAAAAUCGAAUUUCUAAAAACCCAUUUAAUAUUCAUUUUUGCAACCUCAAAAAAGAUAGCUGUUUAUAUCAUUUUCUAAAAAAAUCUAUUCCCACCAUUGAAGAUCCAGCUUUUCCAAUCAACAUACAUGAAGGACACUAUUUAAACUUAUUUCAAAAAGAAAAACUGGUUUAUCUUACACCUCAUUGCCGUACUGAGUUGAAGGAGUUUAAUCCUGAUGAUAUUUAUAUCAUAGGAGCAAUUGUGGAUAGAGUGAACCAGAUGCCUUUGACUUUGGCUAAAGCGAAGAGUGAGGGGUUACGGAUGGCUCAGCUGCCUUUGGAUCGAUACCUUGAAUGGGGAUUGGGCAACAAAUCUCUAACAGUGAAUCAAGUGGUGAAGAUAAUGCAUGAUUUGCAAGUGACAGGUAAUUGGGAUACUGCAUUCAAGCAUGUUCCACGAAGGAAGAUUCGUGUACCUGGGGAACACGUGAGGGAUCCUAGAAGACAAUACAAGAGAGGAACAACUCUUCAACCAUCUACAUAUUUUAUCAAGAAGAACUACUAAUGAAGUACUUAAUACCUGUACGCCUGAAAAGAAGUGAAGUUGGCAACACUUAAAGGUUGGUCCUUGAUCUUCAAGUUGCCAAAUAAGGUCAAGUUUGUGUUGAAGCACUGAUGGGUCCAACAUCCCAUCAAUAUUGUAAAUUAGACCAUGCUGUACAGAUAGUCAAGUAUUAUGCUUAGGUAAGAUUGUCUUGAUUAUUGAAUUUUGUCUUUUUGUAAAAUUGUGACCAUAAA